rnacentral:misc_RNA from 1 species
GUUGUUUUUGUGCGGUGAGCAAAGGGGCUUGGGAUUGGUAGGGGGGUGUCUUCAUGCUUCCACUGCCUUGCUCAUCUACCCUCCUUCACCCCCCUCCCUCCCCCGUGAAUAGGAUUGCGCUGCUGUUCGCUGUGUUGCAUGAUGCGGUUUGUGUCCCGGCUCUCACGAACAAUCCCGCCCGGAGUUUACCAUACUUGAUCUCUUGCGCGGACCUACGGGUGCCCAGAUGCGUGGCGUGUGGUAGGCGGCGCGUACGUGCGCGCGCUGCAACUGCGCCAAAGGGGUCAUUGUCAAAUUCCUUGCAGCGGCUGGUGCGAGAUGGUAGGAGGGGGAACUUUCUCUCCUCUGCCCUAUCAUCCCUGUUGGUGCCGUGCCAGGACCGUAUGACUCCAAGAGCUGUUUGCCGUUGUGCGUGUGCGCGUGGGUGAGCGAGAGACGACGACGACAACUGAACCUCAUUUGCAAUACACAGUUGGUGAGAGCCUUUCUUUCGAUGAUGAUGCACGAGUUAAUCCAUUCUCUGAGUCUCUGUGUGCGUGUGUAUGUGCGCAGGUGCACUGCCGAACUGCGGCGUGACGGGUGCUAGACAUGCGGGGGCUGCUGUGUCGAGGAGCAUGAGCAGUGUGCAGCCGCAAGCAAAGGAGCACGGGGGGACUCCAAACACCGUCUAUUCCCCUGCGUGAUGGAACUGUGACGAGACGGCAUGUGAUGCAACGCCUCCAACGCUGGACCGCACUGCUUGCUGUUUGCACGGGAAGGGGCGGGUGCUGCGGCAUCGUGUGUGUUGGCGUCUGGCACCUGGCGGUGGCUGGAUCGCCAUGUCACCGCACGGGAGAGCUGCCUAUCGGCAUCGCUCAUCCUUGCAGCGCACACGCCUUUGCCCUCACCCUGCUGCCGAGAUGUGGGGCACUGUGAAGACGGUGGAGAACAAAG